CCUACGGGUGGCUGCAGUGGGGAAUAUUGCACAAUGGGGGAAACCCUGAUGCAGCGACGCCGCGUGAGAGAUGAAGGAGGUCGGGAUGUAAAGCUCUAUCAGCAGGGAAGAAAAUGACGGUACCUGACGAAGAAGCCCCGGCUAACUACGUGCCAGCAGCCGCGGUAAUACGUAGGGGGCAAGCGUUAUCCGGAUUUACUGGGUGUAAAGGGGGCGCAGACGGCGAUGCAAGCCAGGAGGGAAAGCCCGGGGCCCCCCCCCGGGACUGCUCUUGGAACUGCGUGGCUGGAGUGCAGGAGGGGCAGGCGGUCUUCCUGGUGUAGCGGUGCACUGCGUCGCUAUCCGGAGG
rnacentral:rRNA from 1 species